rnacentral:rRNA from 1 species
GUGGGGAAUUUUGCACAAUGGGGGAAACCCUGAUGCAGCAACGCCGCGUGAGUGAAGAAGGCCCUCGGGUUGUAAAGCUCUUUCGGUCAGGAAGAAGGGCCUAGUGGCUAAUAUCCAUUAGGUUUGACGGUACUGAAAUAAGAAGCACCGGCUAAUUCCGUGCCAGCAGCCGCGGUAAUACGGAAGGUGCAAGCGUUGUUCGGAAUGACUGGGCGUAAAGGGCGCGUAGGCGGGCUUGUAAGUCAGCUGUGAAAGCCCAGGGCUCAACCCUGGAAUUGCAGUUGAAACUACUAGUCUUGAAUGUCUGAGAGGGUGGCGGAAUUCCGGGUGUAGAAGUGAAAUUCGUAGAUAUCCGGAGGAACACCAGAAGCGAAGGCGGCCACCUGGUGGAGCAUUGACGCUGAGGCGCGAAAGCGUGGGGAGCAAACAGGAUUAGAAACCCUAGUAGUCC